rnacentral:lncRNA from 8 species
GUAAGAUUUGUCCGUACUGACCUGUGCAGAUGUUGCUGUCAUGGCCGCUUAUGCUGAAGCCUGUGUCAUACGUGCAGCGGGAGGAGCUGUGGAGCAGGAGGACGAAGAGCGGGUUGCAGGGAGGCACUGGGAAGGAGAGAUUAAAAGAGGAGAGUCUCCACUGAUUCUGCUCCUUUUCAAGGCAUUCCUCUGCGCUCUCUCCCUCUCUCUCUCUGUCCCCUCCCCCCUCCCCCCCGGUAUGACCCUGUUCAAGAGUGAAUAUCACAGCCUAAGACAUAGGACCAUGACUGGGGAACUGAGGACAAGCCGCCCAAAGACGGGAACCAAGAGACCCAGCAGUGAGGCCUACAGAUCUGACUAUGACUUGGAGUAUGACAGCUACCCAGAUGACCUCUACAGCAGGUAGGCUUCUAUACUGUACCUGGUCUCACCUACAGAUCUAUAUUUUGCUAGAGAUAUGUGUUCUUCACUCUUAUGGCCAAGUACUGAACAAGCUCUAUUACGAUCAAGUGUUCUGGUUUAGAACUUGUACUCAGCUGUUAUAUGUAAAGA